rnacentral:rRNA from 1 species
UACGUAGGGGGCAAGCGUUGUCCGGAAUCAUUGGGCGUAAAGCGCGCGUAGGCGGAUUGCUCAGUCAGAGGUGAAAUCCCGGAGCUCAACUUCGGAAUUGCCUUUGAUACUGUCUGUCUUGAGUCCGGGAGAGGUGAGUGGAAUUCCUAGUGUAGAGGUGAAAUUCGUAGAUAUUAGGAAGAACACCGGUGGCGAAGGCGGCCCACUGGUCCGGUACUGACGCUGAGGUGCGAAAGCGUGGGGAGCAAACAGG